CGACAGAAACCUUGUGUAUGGUGGAGGCCUCUGAUUGGCCAAAGGAAUUCCUUCCCUGACAGUGUAAAGGUGACAGGUCGGAGGAAGGUUUCGUUCCUAAACAAGAGCUAAGAACUGAUUGGCAAGAGGAAUCUCGGACACGCAAUGGAACAACAGAAGAUUCGGUCACAGCAGACAUUAUUGUUCAGGACCAUUUUAAUUCUCAAGCUCUUCUCAUUUGUCAUUGUGAUCAUGACUCAUGACUGUGAACUGAUCAGUGAAGUGUGAGCCCUUAGGAUUUCAAAAAUGGGCCACAGUUGAGUGCAGCACGCCAGGAUCUCCAGAUGGUUUCAGAAGUGGCUCUUUUCUUCUUUGCUAGCAGAGGAUAUUCUAACAGUUCCUGCCACAAUAAAAGUACUAGCAUCUUUAAAAGCUUGUGUCGUCAAAGGGAUGGAUACUCAACAUUCACCAUUACUUUGGCUGCUUUUCUUUGUUUCAUUUGAAAUUCACGUCACGAUCGAUAGUAUUUACCCAUUCGUACAAAAUUGUGAAGAACAUCCUGCUGCUGGUGUCAUGCCUGUUACUAUCUUCUUACUAUUCACGUCAGUCAGCUGCUUCUUCAAGGAUACUACUCCUUCCUUACUCGAGCAAGAACUUUUUCUUUUGACUUGAUUAUGACACUUUAACACUUGUGUAAUGUUUUGUUACAACAUUCAGUAAUGCUAGUUAUUAAUUAGUCCUGUGCUCAAAGCCUGCCUAUAUAUAUAGCUUAUGAGAAAGAUAUACUAUUGCUAUCAGUUCAGAGGACAAGUUUAUCCAAGCAGGACGAAAAGCCAUUACGUAUAUUGUGCGAAGAAAAUCAAUCGAAAAUAUUUGAAUGUGCUGGAAAUUGGCUUGAAGAGAGCCAUAAGUUAUCCUUAGAUGUUUAUGUGUAUGAGAGUGUACAGGUAAAAGUCAUUGUUAAAUCUGAAGGCACUAUGCAAGUGAUUCAUAAGGUUUCAAAUGCAAGUGCUUGUUAAAUUUGCAGGUACAAGUGAUGGCUAAAUGUACAAGUGCCAGUGCUUGUUGAAUUGUUAGAUUUACCAGUACAAGGGGCCCGUGAAGUUUGCAGGUACAAGUGUUUUGUUAAGAUUACUGGUACAAGUGAUUGUUGAAAUGCUGAUGCAAGUGACUGAUAGAUGCGUAGGCAAGUGUGUUAAUGGAUUAAGUUAUGAUAAACAUCUGUUAUCUGUUACAGUCAUGUCCAUCUACCGAACAUUUAACAGUUAGCUAUAUGUAGUAUGUAGCUGUUUGUGGUUGAUAUCCAGUACUAUAUUAUGUGAGGUUAGGUCAUUCUCCUUUUAUGUUCAGUUCUUUGCAUCAUUAAUUUAUAGAUAUUGCAGAUUCAAUCAUUGUGGUUAGGCUUCUUUGCAUGGUCGUGUUCUUACUAUUUGGUAUAGAUAAUUGCUAUAUAGCAGUUUGGAAAGUGUACAUUUGAGAGAGAGAUAGAGAGGUACUAUCUUUAAAUUGAAUUUAGCAUCUUGUAUUAUGGAAUAUUUCUUUUUUGAAUAUACAGAAGUACAGUACCCUGAUUCCUACUGAAUGAUAUCUUAUGGUUCUCUAAUUCUUCAUAAAGCAUUGUUUUAAAAUGUUUAUUUCUAUAAUUUAAACAGUACACUUGACUUGACAUGACUACAGAAUUGUUUUUAGUAAUUGGUUUUGUGAUAUAUUAUUAUUUAA